rnacentral:lncRNA from 1 species
GAAGCAGCCAUUGGGUUUAUAGUUAAGUUUAAAAACAUAAUGGAUUCAUUUGAGGAGUCUGCUAAUUUGGGGCCACAAAACGGAAGACACAUCAGGAGAAUGAAUUCACUGCCGUGAGCCAUGUCCUCAGGGGAUAUGAUUCAGCAACUGUGAGGUCCAGCAAGGACAACUGGAUCCUGUUGGUUUCAUCAACAGCCUGGACUAUUCUGCCCGAGGGAGAGCAGUCAGUAACAGGUAUGGGUCACCACCCCUGCCAGCCUGGGAGACGAUCACAAGCGUACGAGUGUAUACAUUACUUUUCUGUUGCGGUGAUGAAACACCACAAACCAAAGGGAACUUAGGAGAAAGUUUAUUUUGCCUUAUGUUUCCAGAAGGAAUCCACAAUGGCCAAGCGGAGACCUGGCAGCAAGGAGCAGGUGUGGCAGCAGGAACAAGAAUUGGGAGCUUGUAUCCUCAACCCAAGCACAGGGCGGGGAAAGCAGACUGGGAACGGUGUGGAUCUUUUCACUCUCAAAGCCUGACUCCAGUGACAUACUUCGUCCCACAAGGCAACGCCUCCUAAACCUCCCCUAGACAGCAUCACCAACUGGUGACCAAGUAGUCAAAUACAUGAGCCUAUGGGGGACAUUCUCAUUCGAACCACCAUGAUGAGUAAGCCCAACACAAGUCAGAGGAAGACCACCCAGCUGAUUCUGCCCAGAUUACCCAUCCACAGAAACAAGGGCUCAGCAAUGUCUGGGAUGGUUUGUUACGCAGCAAAACUAACAGAUACACCUCCUUGAGCUCCAGGGUUUUUGCAAGCGCUGUUCUUUGUGUGGGACACUCCUUUUACUUCCUCUGCUUAGAUGAUUUUUAUUCAUCGCAGCUCAGGGAAGUUUUCUCUGGUCUUGAUUCAUUCACCCCCUCCCUCAGAGUCUCUCUCUCUCUCUCUC